UCUGGAUACGCCACUGCGUACAGGGUAUAAAUUAGCAAACAAAACAAAAUAUUCGUGUUUUACUCCUUGGUUUUGCUGGGAAAGCGAAGAAGAUAUCAUUUCGUUUGCUAAUAAUAUACAAGGGAUUUGUACUUAAAAUGCAGUAUAGACAUUAACUUGAAAAAGAAGCGGAUUUAAAACAAAAGUUUUCGACAACAAACUGUUAAAAAAGUUGAAAUAUGAACUUUAAUAUUUACUGCAAUUUACCCCACAAGAGUCACAUUAAACAUUAAAGAAGGCUUAUAACCCCUUUUCAAUCGGACGUUUAAAUGAAGAGAUUAACACAGCUCCAAAAAACGAUAACUUAAGAGGAUAAUUAAUUAAUAAAUGUUAAUAAAUGAUAAUGGGGAAUAAUAAGAGUUUCUAAAUAAAAUCAAAGAAGGUGCAGAUAUGUACAUUAUACCUUAUAAUAAGCCCAGUGAUGUGCCAAGAAUUUCAACAUGAUACUAGCCUACAGUGGUGCGUUUUAUGAAUUUCUCGGUCAAAAAAUAUUAUAUUGAAAAUUAUUAUAAGAUUUUAAUUAAAAUAUUUUUUUUAUAAAA